UAUUACUUAAAUAUUUUUUUAUUAUUGUUACCUUAUUUUGCUUUAUUUUAUGAUUCAACUGCUAUUGUCUAGCGGUAGCGAUGACUCUUCAACGUAAGGACUUGAAAGGUCGUUUCGUGCUGGGGUAGAGAGGAGAAGAAAGAAACCAAUGGCCAUCAGGACUUUUUUAUGGCAUGUUUCCGUGAUAAAUUGUCAAGUGCUUCUUCCUAGUCCAAACUGGAACUAAAGGACCAUGAGAAAAGAGUAUGAUACUCAUAGAACAACCCAGUUGCAGAAGUGAACCCAAAUUCAACCCAUUCCGGUAACACAUCUCUCAUAUCCACUUUACUCCAUAAAUUCUGCUUGAUCUUUGUCACGUUAUCCUUGUACCCAGUGAAUGUCACGGUUAGAUUAUUCGUAGCUGCAUUGUAAGUGAUAACCGCAUCAUAUCCUCUCUCAUCCCUGCUACUGAACCAUUCUGCAGUGAAAGCAGUGGCAAUAGAUUUAACAUCGAUGCCAACAUGAUCAUAGGGAGGAUCCCAAUCGUUGCCAAAGGUGUCAAACUCCACCGCCACAAACGGGUGUUCGUUUGUGUAGUUUGGAUUACUCAACUCAUAACGGCUGAGGAGACCAAUGCCGCUACCGUCUCUUGGAACUGGAAGUGGGAAAUUGGGCUCUGCUAGAUAGAAGGUGAUGCCGUCGCCAUCGUAGGAUUUGUUUGGAGUGUUGAUGGAGAAGCUGAAAUGGGUGGUGAAAUCUGUGACCUUGCCGGUUUUGUUGUCCCAAAGAUGGAGAGGUUUGUAAUAGGUAACUCUUCCGAGGCUGUCUUUCUUGUAUUCAGUGAGUUGGAGGGCUCCGUUAUCUUGAUACACAUCUCCGACAAUGUUUAAGGUAUUUAUGGUGUCACUGAAUCGCUUGUAGUUGAAUGCUAAUGGUGUUGCAUUAGAUAUAAGAGCCAACAGGAUUAUGAAUGUUACAUAAAAACACGCAAGUGCGUAAUUUGCUUCUGGGGAUGUCAUGUUUGUGGCUAAUUCUGAAUUCUGUGCUGAGGGCACUAGAUUAGAUAUUUCUUAUAAUCUUCAACAGUUCAACAUCGUUUUUGCGAGAUUUGACUUUAGGCGAA